rnacentral:piRNA from 1 species
UCAAAGCGUGAUUUUUCCUGCCCGCUUGC